GGAAGGAUCAUUACCGAGGACCGCCUGAACAAGGCACCCUCUCACAAUUUGCUACAAUUCCUGGCUCCUUCGGCGGGGCGCGAUUCGUCGCCAUCGACCUUUGGUUGAUGCGUACCCGCCGCAAGCACCAAACUUUGCAUUCAUUGAAGUCAAUUUUUGAAAUCAAAACUUGAAAAACUUUCAACAACGGAUCUCUUGGUUCUGGCAUCGAUGAAGAACGCAGCGAAAUGCGAUAAGUAAUGUGAAUUGCAGAAUUUUGUGAAUCAUCGAAUCUUUGAACGCACAUUGCGCCCUUUGGUAUUCCGAAGGGCACACCUGUUCGAGCGCCGUUUCAAAACUAAGGCUUUGCCUUGUGUUGGCGAUUCCCCUAGCGGGGAGUGCCUAAACUUUUGUGGCGUUACCCACGGUUUAGCGAAACAGCAGAAUGUGGAGCUGCCGGAGGUCGACUGCCAGUCUUCGAAAAGUUUGGCCUCGGAUCAGGUGGGGUUACCCGCUGAACUUAAGCAUAUCAAUAAGCGGAGGAAAAGAAACCAACAGGGAUUGCCUUAGUAACGGCGAGUGAAGCGGCAUCAGCUCAGAUUUGAAAUCUGGCCUUUGGCCCGAGUUGUAAUCUGCAGAGGAAUGUUCGGCAGCGGCGCUGGUCCAAGUCUCCUGGAACGGUGCGUCUUAGAGGGUGAGAACCCCGUACGACUGGCAGCCUACGCCAUGUGAACAUCCUUCGACGAGUCGAGUUGUUUGGGAAUGCAGCUCAAAAUGGGUGGUAUAUUUCAUCUAAAGCUAAAUAUUGGCCAGAGACCGAUAGCGCACAAGUAGAGUGAUCGAAAGAUGAAAAGCACUUUGGAAAGAGAGUUAAACAGUACGUGAAAUUGUUGAAAGGGAAGCGCUUGCAAUCAGACUUGCGCGCGGUUGCUCAGCCGAUCUUUUGGUCGGUGCACUCUUCCGCGUUCAGGCCAGCAUCGGUUUGGGCGGUUGGAUAAAGGCUUUGGGAAUGUGAUUCUCUUCGGGGAAUGUUAUAGCCCUUUGCACAAUACAAUCUGCCUGGACCGAGGAACGCGCAUCUGCUCGGAUGCUGGCGUAAUGGUUGCUAGCGGCCCGUCUUGAAACACGGACCAAGGAGUCUAACAUCCGUGCGAGUGUUAGGGUGUCAAACCCUCAUCGCGUAAUGAAAGUGAACGGAGGUGGGAGCUUCGGCGCACCAUCGACCGAUCCGGAGGUUUUCCAAAGGAUUUGAGUAAGAGCACGGCUGUUGGGACCCGAAAGAUGGUGAACUAUGCGUGAAUAGGGCGAAGCCAGAGGAAACUCUGGUGGAGGCUCGCAGCGGUUCUGACGUGCAAAUCGAUCGUCAAAUUUGCGUAUAGGGGCGAAAGACUUAUCGAACCAUCUAGUAGCUGGUUCCUGC
rnacentral:misc_RNA from 1 species